GACAUUUGUUUAUGCAAUUUUGGGGUUUCUUAGCGGCAUUUGCCUCAAAUUACACUGCAAUGCCCUUGGAAAUCCCAAACAUGCAUGACGACUCAA
rfam:Tribolium castaneum strain Georgia GA2 linkage group LG8, whole genome shotgun sequence.